UCAAAUUUUUCGGGGAUGAGUCCAGUUACUUCUCUUACCGUAAGUGUUAAUUCUCUUUUCUCAAUUUUUACUUCUCUUUUCUUUCGUCCGCUGCGAACAACAGGAGAAGCUUCAAUUGGAACUCAAGAAAUUGUUGAAGAUGAAGGAAUUCAAACCCACUCUGGUACGAUACAUAGGCUCAAGAGUUCGCUGCUGCCGUUGAAGUUUCCUGCCAGGCGAGCUCCGUGCAUGCACUUAUGAAUUCAAUUGGCAACAAAGAUGAAUUUUCCAGGUUGCUGCCACGUAUUAAAGAAUCCUAAGCUUUCUAGAACCCCAACUUUCAUCUCCAGAUCUUUUAGCGACCAAUGUUUGAGCUUCAAGGAUAGCUUAGAUUUUGAGGUGCCCCUUCCCAAGUCUGUUCUUCUCGAGUCGUCCAAGCUUCAGCUGAUUCUUUCCGGCAAGGAGUACAUCAGAACUUCCAAACAUGGGGAGAUAAAGGGUGGCGACGGCAACUUCAAGAACAGAGAAAGUUGGUAGUUGUGAUAGACUCGUCGGAGAAAAAAUAAAAGAGAAGUAAAAAGACUAAAAUACCUCAUUAUAUUAUUUAUUAUUAUUAUUAUUUCCUGGUGAGAUUUGGGAGACAAUUUAAUGAGAGUGACCAUAUUUGAUAAAA